rnacentral:rRNA from 1 species
CUGAUCCAGCCAUGCCGCGUGUGUGAAGAAGGCCUUUUGGUUGUAAAGCACUUUAAGCGAGGAGGAGGCUACUUGGAUUAAUACUCUAGGAUAGUGGACGUUACUCGCAGAAUAAGCACCGGCUAACUCUGUGCCAGCAGCCGCGGUAAU